rnacentral:rRNA from 1 species
AUUGAACGCUGGCGGCAGGCCUAACACAUGCAAGUCGAGCGAGCGGCGGACGGGUGAGUAAUGUAUGGGGACUGCCCGAUAGAGGGGGAUAACUACUGGAAACGGUAGCUAAUACCGCAUACUAUCGGAUAACCCAGAUGGGAUUAGCUAGUAGGUGAGGUAAUGGCUCACCGAGGCGACGAUCCCUAGCUGGUCUGAGAGGAUGAUCAGCAACACUGGGACUGAGACCCGGCCCAGAAUCCUCCGGAGGCAGCAGUGGGGAAUAUUGCACAAUGGGCGCAAGUCUGAUGCAGCCAUGCCGCGUGUAUGAAGAAGGCCUGAGGGUUGUAAAGUACUUUCAGUCGUGAGGCGUUACCGACAGAAGAAGCACCGGCUAACUCCGUGCCAGCCGCCGCGGUAAUUC